GUACACGCUGUGACUAGCAUAUCAAUAAGCGGAGGAAAAGAAACUAACAAGGAUUCCCCUAGUAACGGCGAGUGAAGCGGGAAGAGCUCAAAUUUGAAAUCUUAAAGGGUUUCCCUUUACGAAUUGUAGUUUAAAGAAGUGUUUUCUGUUGAGGUUUUGGUAAAAGUUCUUUGGAAUAGGACAUCAUAGAGGGUGAGAAUCCCGUAUUUGACCUUUACUUUCAACUUUGUGAUACACUUUCAAAGAGUCGGAUUGUUUGGGAAUGCAGUCCAAAAUGGGUGGUAAAUUUCAUCUAAAGCUAAAUAUUGGCGAGAGACCGAUAGCGAACAAGUACCGUGAGGGAAAGAUGAAAAGAACUUUGAAAAGAGAGUUAAACAGUACGUGAAAUUGUCAAAAGGGAAGCGUUUGACACCAGUGUUGUUUUUCUGAAAAUCAAUUAAAGAACUGUUUAUGCUAAGUUGUUUAGACUUUAUCAGCUAACUGUUUAGUUUUGAGCUUUUCUUUAAUGCACUUUUCAGUUAACAAGUCAACAUCAAUUUCUUUUGCUGUAAAAAAGCUUGAGGAAGGUGGCUUGAGAUUCGUCUUAAGUGUUUAUAGCCUCUUGCCUAUGCAGUCGGAGAGAUUGAGGUCUGCAGCGUAGAUCCUUCGGGGCUAAAUGCAUUUGUGCUAAGUUAUAGCAUUUCAUAGACAACUUGUUGACUAUGAUUUGUCUUGUAGCUUACUCGCUUAUGUUAUUUUACCUACGCUUAGGAUGUUGACAGCAGUAUAGACUGU
rnacentral:rRNA from 1 species